CCCUGCUGCCAUAUUAGGCUGAAAGCACCGUUUCCCGUCUGCUCUGCGAAGUUAAGCAGCCUCAAGCUCGGGUAGUACUCGGGGAGUGGGGU
rnacentral:rRNA from 1 species